UUAAGCGACUAAGCGUACACGGUGGAUGCCCUGGCAGUCAGAGGCGAUGAAGGACGUGCUAAUCUGCGAUAAGCGUCGGUAAGGUGAUAUGAACCGUUAUAACCGGCGAUUUCCGAAUGGGGAAACCCAGUGUGAUUCGUCACACUAUCAUUAACUGAAUCCAUAGGUUAAUGAGGCGAACCGGGGGAACUGAAACAUCUAAGUACCCCGAGGAAAAGAAAUCAACCGAGAUUCCCCCAGUAGCGGCGAGCGAACGGGGAGCAGCCCAGAGCCGAAUCAGUGUGUGUGUUAGUGGAAGCGUCUGGAAAGGCGCGCGAUACAGGGUGACAGCCCCGUACACAAAAAUGCACAUGCUGUGAGCUCGAUGAGUAGGGCGGGACACGUGGUAUCCUGUCUGAAUAUGGGGGGACCAUCCUCCAAGGCUAAAUACUCCUGACUGACCGAUAGUGAACCAGUACCGUGAGGGAAAGGCGAAAAGAACCCCGGCGAGGGGAGUGAAAAAGAACCUGAAACCGUGUACGUACAAGCAGUGGGAGCACGCUUAGGCGUGUGACUGCGUACCUUUUGUAUAAUGGGUCAGCGACUUAUAUUCUGUAGCAAGGUUAACCGAAUAGGGGAGCCGAAGGGAAACCGAGUCUUAACUGGGCGUUAAGUUGCAGGGUAUAGACCCGAAACCCGGUGAUCUAGCCAUGGGCAGGUUGAAGGUUGGGUAACACUAACUGGAGGACCGAACCGACUAAUGUUGAAAAAUUAGCGGAUGACUUGUGGCUGGGGGUGAAAGGCCAAUCAAACCGGGAGAUAGCUGGUUCUCCCCGAAAGCUAUUUAGGUAGCGCCUCGUGAAUUCAUCUCCGGGGGUAGAGCACUGUUUCGGCAAGGGGGUCAUCCCGACUUACCAACCCGAUGCAAACUGCGAAUACCGGAGAAUGUUAUCACGGGAGACACACGGCGGGUGCUAACGUCCGUCGUGAAGAGGGAAACAACCCAGACCGCCAGCUAAGGUCCCAAAGUCAUGGUUAAGUGGGAAACGAUGUGGGAAGGCCCAGACAGCCAGGAUGUUGGCUUAGAAGCAGCCAUCAUUUAAAGAAAGCGUAAUAGCUCACUGGUCGAGUCGGCCUGCGCGGAAGAUGUAACGGGGCUAAACCAUGCACCGAAGCUGCGGCAGCGACACUAUGUGUUGUUGGGUAGGGGAGCGUUCUGUAAGCCUGUGAAGGUGUACUGUGAGGUAUGCUGGAGGUAUCAGAAGUGCGAAUGCUGACAUAAGUAACGAUAAAGCGGGUGAAAAGCCCGCUCGCCGGAAGACCAAGGGUUCCUGUCCAACGUUAAUCGGGGCAGGGUGAGUCGACCCCUAAGGCGAGGCCGAAAGGCGUAGUCGAUGGGAAACAGGUUAAUAUUCCUGUACUUGGUGUUACUGCGAAGGGGGGACGGAGAAGGCUAUGUUGGCCGGGCGACGGUUGUCCCGGUUUAAGCGUGUAGGCUGGUUUUCCAGGCAAAUCCGGAAAAUCAAGGCUGAGGCGUGAUGACGAGGCACUACGGUGCUGAAGCAACAAAUGCCCUGCUUCCAGGAAAAGCCUCUAAGCAUCAGGUAACAUCAAAUCGUACCCCAAACCGACACAGGUGGUCAGGUAGAGAAUACCAAGGCGCUUGAGAGAACUCGGGUGAAGGAACUAGGCAAAAUGGUGCCGUAACUUCGGGAGAAGGCACGCUGAUAUGUAGGUGAAGUCCCUCGCGGAUGGAGCUGAAAUCAGUCGAAGAUACCAGCUGGCUGCAACUGUUUAUUAAAAACACAGCACUGUGCAAACACGAAAGUGGACGUAUACGGUGUGACGCCUGCCCGGUGCCGGAAGGUUAAUUGAUGGGGUUAGCGCAAGCGAAGCUCUUGAUCGAAGCCCCGGUAAACGGCGGCCGUAACUAUAACGGUCCUAAGGUAGCGAAAUUCCUUGUCGGGUAAGUUCCGACCUGCACGAAUGGCGUAAUGAUGGCCAGGCUGUCUCCACCCGAGACUCAGUGAAAUUGAACUCGCUGUGAAGAUGCAGUGUACCCGCGGCAAGACGGAAAGACCCCGUGAACCUUUACUAUAGCUUGACACUGAACAUUGAGCCUUGAUGUGUAGGAUAGGUGGGAGGCUUUGAAGUGUGGACGCCAGUCUGCAUGGAGCCGACCUUGAAAUACCACCCUUUAAUGUUUGAUGUUCUAACGUUGACCCGUAAUCCGGGUUGCGGACAGUGUCUGGUGGGUAGUUUGACUGGGGCGGUCUCCUCCUAAAGAGUAACGGAGGAGCACGAAGGUUGGCUAAUCCUGGUCGGACAUCAGGAGGUUAGUGCAAUGGCAUAAGCCAGCUUGACUGCGAGCGUGACGGCGCGAGCAGGUGCGAAAGCAGGUCAUAGUGAUCCGGUGGUUCUGAAUGGAAGGGCCAUCGCUCAACGGAUAAAAGGUACUCCGGGGAUAACAGGCUGAUACCGCCCAAGAGUUCAUAUCGACGGCGGUGUUUGGCACCUCGAUGUCGGCUCAUCACAUCCUGGGGCUGAAGUAGGUCCCAAGGGUAUGGCUGUUCGCCAUUUAAAGUGGUACGCGAGCUGGGUUUAGAACGUCGUGAGACAGUUCGGUCCCUAUCUGCCGUGGGCGCUGGAGAAUUGAGGGGGGCUGCUCCUAGUACGAGAGGACCGGAGUGGACGCAUCACUGGUGUUCGGGUUGUCAUGCCAAUGGCACUGCCCGGUAGCUAAAUGCGGAAGAGAUAAGUGCUGAAAGCAUCUAAGCACGAAACUUGCCCCGAGAUGAGUUCUCCCUGACUCCUUGAGAGUCCUGAAGGAACGUUGAAGACGACGACGUUGAUAGGCCGGGUGUGUAAGCGCAGCGAUGCGUUGAGCUAACCGGUACUAAUGAACCGUGAGGCUUAACCU
rnacentral:rRNA from 1 species